rnacentral:tmRNA from 1 species
GGGGCUGAUAUAGCUUUCGACAAUUGGACCUUAUCACGACAUUCUGCGAGCCGACGAUACGCGUAAGUAUAUUUAGAUGCAAACUUUGUUGCAAAAGCAAAGUCAUUCGUAGCGAGCGCUUUCGCUCCUAAGAUGGCCUUUGCGCCAAUCGCUGCUUAAUUUUUAGCGAUCAUCCUUGUAUUGUGGCAACAGUCAAUAUCUAAGGGUGUUAUACCUAUGUUGCUUGCUAUAUAUUCGGAAGUAGCGGAUAUGUAGGACUUUUACUACGUAACGGAACUCGGUUUUCUUGGUUUAUUUUAAAUCCGAGUAGCGUUAUUAAAUAAAUUUAGAUAAGCCUAUGUUCGUAGACGAAUGUUGUGAUACCAGUUGGACCCGGGGGCAGUACCCGGCAGCUCCACCA